rnacentral:ncRNA from 1 species
CCCAAAAGCUUUAUUAUAAUAUAACUCUACAAAGUUGAACAUAGGCUGAGUCUCUAUGCCUUGAAUGGAGCACUGGAUUGGAUACCCGGGAAACCGGCGCUUCCAUUUAUAAGAAGUUAAAUUACUGGAAGCGUCUGUAAGGUUACAACACAAGUCACUGAUAAUUCUGAUGAAUAUUUCAAGUUACUGACAUCUGCCCGGCAUCAAUGAUAAACGGCGGCUGUAUUUUAAACGGUCCUAAGGUAGCAAAAUUCCUUGUCGGGUAAUCUCCGUCCUGCAUGAACGGUGUAACGACUUCCCCAUUGUCGCUAGUGUGAGACUCCUAAUAAAUAGAAUUAUCCAUGAAUAUGUGGAAUCAUACGGCCCGACGGUAAGACCCUGAGCACCUUAACUUCCCUAAAAGUUCUUAUGUGUUGGCAUGGUUACGAGAUUUAAGGAU